rnacentral:rRNA from 1 species
UUUUUACGGAGAGUUUGAUCCUGGCUCAGGAUGAACGCUGGCGGCGUGCUUAACACAUGCAAGUCGAACGAUGAAGCCCAGCUUGCUGGGUGGAUUAGUGGCGAACGGGUGAGUAACACGUGAGUAACCUGCCCUUGACUCUGGGAUAAGCCUGGGAAACUGGGUCUAAUACUGGAUAUGACUUCUCACCGCAUGGUGGGGGGUGGAAAGAUUUAUUGGUCUU